GAGGUUUUAGAAGCAGCAGGGGGUGCGCUCUUUCGGUGCAGCGUGCCAGGACAUGGAGAAAUCAGUGGCAACGCUAGACAAAGGCACGACGUGCUCGGCGUGGAACUACUGUGGGCAGAGAUUGGCCACAGGCUCCGUAGACGGGAGCCUAUCCAUUUUCGACCCGUGUGACCCCGCUUCUUCCUCCUUUUCCUGCACUUCAUGAGGCUCGUAUCGUGAAGGUUGUUUGGGUUCCUCCUGAACAUGGUGAUGCAAUAGCCUGC
rnacentral:misc_RNA from 1 species